AAUAAUAAUAUAUUUAUACCCUGCCCAUCUGUUAAACAUUAAAAGCUUCCCUAAACAGGGACAUCAAACCUGCUAAUGUUUUAAUAUAUUCACAGUGGUCUUUUAAAUAGUCUAUAAAUUUCUUUCAUUCCCGUUCAAACUUUUUCUCAUCCUGAUCUCUGAUCUUCACGGUCAUCUUUGCCAUUUCGGCAUACAGGGCUGGCUCUAGGUAGAGUCCCGGUGGUGUGGGGCGCCAGGGCGCUGGGUCGGUAGGCAGGGUGCUGCGCGGCAAAGCCGCGUGGAAGCCAUGCUGCGCCCUGUGAGGGUGGGGGCGCCAGAGCAAUCUCCGCCCCUCAGCGCCAGGGCGUGCAACCUGCUCAAGACUGCCCUGUUGGCAUAGUCUUAGUUAUCAAUUUUUCUUUUGUUGAUACUUUUUCUUCUUUCCACUUCUGGGCAAGCAAAAUUCUCGUGGCUGUUGUCGCAUACAUAAAUAGUCCUUUUAAGUCCCCUGGUAUUUCAUCCCCUGUUAACCCAAGUAAAAAGGCUUCUGGUUUUUUUUGACAAAAGUUAUCUUAAACAUUUUUUUUAAUUCAUUGUAUAUCAUUUCCCAGAAGUCUUUUACUUUUUUACAGGGCCACCACAUAUGGUAAAAAGUACCUUCCUUAUCCUUACAUUUUGUGUGUAAUGUCUUUUAAGUCACUGUUGAUAGGUUAGAAUGCAGCUGCAAAUAAAGUCUCAUUCUAACAUGGAGGAAUGCUUUUAUUAACAGAGCUGCCAUUUCCCUCUACACAGCAUUGUGGGUAGGGAAACCCAAUUUUAAAACAAGAGGGGUGCAUUUAAUAAAUUCAACAGCUGAUCUAGAGGGAGCUUCCAUGUGAGAACAGCGAAUACCAAAACUGGAGCAGAUGUAGAGUUGAAAGGGAAACGGGUUCGGGCAUUGUCAGAGUUCUGCAGAGACUGUGACCCAUAUGAGGGUCACACCACCCAUGAGAAAACAAAGGCAAAUAAAGUUAUGGAAGGCAUGUUCGUCUCAACUAAAUACAUGAAAGUUGGGCUCCUGCUUCUAUGUAUUCUCCCCUGUGAAAUGCAGCAGUUUGAAUGGGGCAAAUCCCUACUCAGCUCUGAAACUUACUGGGUGACCUUGGGCCAGUCACAGCCUCCCUGCCUAACCUUAUACACAGGGUUGUUCUGAGGAUAGAACAGGGAGGAAGAGAAGCAUGAACUCGUUGGAAGAAAGGUGGGAUAUAAAUGCAAUAAAUACCAUCAAUUACAGAACAUUCCCGGUCCUAGCUUAGAUUGAGGCUUCCAGGCUGGCAUUGGGUGGACAUAGGUUGCAUAGGGUGAUGGUCAGAAGAACAUCCAAGUCCAGUAAAUGAGAGGCAAAGUGUGCCAGAUUAGGAGAGGCAAGACUUGGCCUGUUAGGAUCCUGUGGCGGGUGCUGGAAGGCACCAAUCCAAGGAGACGUAUUGCACCCAGCAGCAUGGAGUGUAAUUGCGGUGGGAGGGCAUCACUCUUUGAUUAUGAGAAGUCUGUUGAAGGCACUUCAGCAAUAUCCCUCCCACAGCAAAAAGCACAUUAGGCUACCCACCCGUACUCCACUUUUGGAACAUCCAAGCAAAUGCUUAAGCACUGCCCAAGACCUAAAAAUGUGCAACUUUGGCUGGCUCAUGCCAAAAGCUAAGCUGCCAGGUAAAUAUCCAGUUUAGAUGGGGCCGAAAGAAAGAUUGACCCUUAUGGAAAAGCAGGCUGCAUAAGGCUGGUUUGUUUUUAAAUUCCUCGCUCCUGCUUUACUUUAAAGGAAACCUGCAUUUAUGUUUAAGGGUUACUCAUGGAGAUAUUAUUUAUUAUAGCGACAUUAAGGCACAGAAUUCUAUGAGAAGAAGAAAAACCACAGGAGUUCAGAAUUUCAAUCUUAAUGCUGAGGAAGACACCAGAGAGAGAACAAUAUUAUAUUGUGAUUUGUACUUUAGCUUUUCAGCUUAGAGGAAAGAAGGAAGGAGGUGCUAUGUGAUUUGAAUAGGGGCAGCAUGUCCUUUGUGGAAAACUUUCAGAAUUUGUUCUUAUGCUGCGCCAGGAUCACAUUUGCAUUACUGCAGUUUAUUGCAGUGCGAAAACACAGUCAUUGACGCAGCCAAUAUUUGUAAAAUUCAUACUGCAUGUGGGCUAGCUUCAUCUCAAAUGCACAAUAGGUAGAAAUUCUUUCCUCAGCUUCUUCUCAGCCUGGUACUCUUCCUUACAGAUUUGACAAAUCAGCUAUCACACCGUUGGCGAAGUCUGUUAAGAGAUUAUCUUCACCACAGAAGUUUAUUAUUUCUUUCAUUAAGAAGAAAACUUCUCCGAACAUGUCACCCGCCCCCUCUUCCCCACCCCACCCCCCGCUUUCCUUUACUGCGAUUUUCUCCUCAUUUAUUUUUGUCAGCGCUGGAUCCAUUCAGCAUCUGCUCUCCUAUGAAAAGCCCCCAGGAAAAAAUUAAAAAGCUGUUCAAGCCAAUUCAUUGUUGUUAUUAAGAACCGUAAUUCACCUCGUAGUUAUCUCGGCUCUUUUCGGUUCUUAUCUCGGCUUCCAUGAUGACAUUGCCUUCCCGUUCGAGGCAUCGCUCCAGCCCCUGUCUCAUCUCUCCCACCUUAAUUUGUAGCGAUGCGCUGCAAGUUUGGUGACAGGCAGUUGUUCGUGCUUGAAUAACCCGCGAUUUGAAUUCUACAGUUUGUGGCAUCCAUGUAAUGCUUAGCAGUAGGUACAGCUGUUAACUAUUCGCUUAUAAAUAAUCUUUCCCCCCUCUCAACCUGUCUCCCAGGUAGUGUACCUGUCACCAUUAAUAACUCAUUGGUAGCUCCCCUGCGAUUCGGUCCAUCACUUGUCAUUCACACUAGAGCAAUGCCCUGGCUUGCCACUGAAACUCACACAAGCUCCAUCAGCUAUUCACUCAUCGCGGCAGCUGUAUUGUUUCAAGUUUCUGACUUGCGGGAAAUUGCAUUGAUGCAUCUCACACAGCUAGGCCCCGGGAUCAUCCCACCCUUAUUCCCAUGCAUGUGGGAAACUCAAAUCUUCGCAAAAGUUCCUCCUUGCCUUUUAAGAAAGGCUGUAUUGACCACCGGUGCGAGCAAUAAGCUUCAUAGAGUUCUUUCUGGCGUUAGCUAUAUUGAUCUCAGUGAUGUUGCCCCAGUGGUUUGUACUGCCCAUAAUAUAGCAUAAUUAAGUUUGCGUAAUACUAUAUGAUACACCACAUUGAUUGUGAUGCUCUGCUGAUUGCCGGGUGGGAGGAAAAAAGAAAAUUUGCCUCACCUUCUAAAGAGCUUUGAUCGUGGCAUUUAGUACCAUCACCUGACCUUAGCGUUUUUUUUGGGGGGUGAAAGCCAGCCAUCAUUAGGAGUGUAUUGCAGGGUUCACGAAUUGUGAUAAGGGUUCUACAGACAGUGAUUUGAAGAGGUAACAUAGGUGUGAUACGUGAAUAGCAGGUGCAUUUCUUGCCCAGGUGUUCAUUCAAGGCAGUUAUCUUUUAAGUUAACCCAUGGAGAGAAACUGAAGCACAAAAGCUUUCUGUUUGAAUGACUGCCAUUGACUAAGUCAAUUUGUUGUUUGUCUGAAAACAAUCUUUAAAGCACCAUAUGCAUUAAGUGUGUGUGUGUGUGUGUGUGUGUGUGUGUGUGUGUGUACAAAGACCCUAUAUGUUCAUUUAGUAGGUUAGUUUCUCUCCUUUGAGGAAGAAGGAGAACGUUUGUCUAAUGCUUUUCUACCAUAAAUGCCAUUCUGGGUCCUGUGCAUUUAAGUUCCACUCUGUUCCCAUGUAGGAAGUGAUCCACCCUGAGGUAGGGAUGAAUAGGAUUGAACCCUUAAUAACUUUUU